UUAGAUUUUUCGGGUUUCGGUGUCGUUUUUUUUUCGUUCUCGUCGAGGUGUUUAUUGUUGUAAAAAAUUGCUUAUUAAUAAUCGGUAAUCAUGUCAGACGAUGAUUUAAUCGGACCUGCCUUACCCCCGUCGUUCAGAAAAAGCAACAAUGAUGAAUCUGAUGACGAGGAAGGAUGAUGUGCUGUCUUCUCCAAUAGUUGCAGGUCCUGCGCUGCCUCCCGGAUACAAACCGGAGUUGCUCUCCAGCUCGGAGGAUGACUUUGGCCAAGAGGAGGUGGAUGUGGUGAUCAAGAGACGAAGCAAGACGAGCAGCAGACACGGUCACGGUAGCGGGACGACCAAGGAUGGACCCACCGCAGAAAAACAACACAGAGUGGAAGAGGCGGUGAGUAGAAGGCUUGAGGAUGAUGAUGAUGAUGAUGAUGGUUUCUUCGGACCAGCUCUUCCUCCUGGGUUCUCAAAACCACAGGCUUCACCAGAGAGGCCAGGUGUAUUGGGCCCAGCCUUACCCCCAGGAUUUCACAGACCGGCAUCUGAUGAUGAUGAAGAUGAUGAUGGUGAGGAUGAUUUCCCUCGGCCAGCCCUGCCACCGGGCUACACAGCAGAACCCUCCAGCGGUGAUGAAGAGGAGGAGGAGGAUGAAGAGGUGAUCGGACCCAUGCCUGCUCUUGGUGCCAUCCGGGACUCCGUGGCUCUGGACAUCGAACGCAGAGCUCAGAAGAUGAAGGACAGACUGACAGGAGCAGAUAAUGGUCCGGAGGACGUGGUGCGAGAGACCUGGAUGACAGAGCUUCCUCCAACGCUGCAGCACAUCGGGCUGGGGGCCAGAACCUUCAAGAAGAGGGCUGGACCGGAGAGCAAGGACCGAUCCCUCUGGACCGACACCCCUGCUGACCGAGAACGCAAACUCAGGGAACGACUGGAGGGAAAGGAGAGUGAAGAAACAGAACCGGUCCCUCAACUGUCUCACAAAGAGUUACAGAUGGCUGAGAAAGUGUCCAAAUACAACGAAACGAAGCGUGGCGAGUCUCUGAUCAGUCUCCACGAGAAGCAGAUGAAGAAGAGGAAACUGGACGAGGGCGCCAAGCCGGUGGAGAGACGAGCGUUUGACAGGGACCAGGACUUGCAAGUCAACAAGUUUGACGAGGCUCAGAAACAACGUCUGUUGAAGAAGUCCCAGGAGCUCAACACACGCUUCGGACACAGCAAGGAGAAAAUGUUCCUCUGAGACGAUCCACACACACACAAAGCUCAGGAUUGGACGUUUUUUGGUCACCUGAGCCAGUCAAUGAUUGACGGGAACGUUCCAGGUUGACUGUUUAUUGCAGUCCAACUACUCAGAUGAUCAGAACACAUUGUACUGAAUGUGAUCUGAGCAGAACAGGUCGUAAAGUUAUAACUUGUAUGUUUUUUGGUCACCUGAGCCAGUCAAUGAGUGACGGGAACGUUCCAGGUUGACUGUUUAUUGCAGUCCAACUACUCAGAUGAUCAGAACACAUUGUACUGAAUGUGAUCUGAGCAGAACAGGUCGUAAAGUUAUAACUUGUAUGUUUUUUGGUCACCUGAGCCAGUCAAUGAGUGACGGGAACGUUCCAGGUUGACUGUUUAUUGCAGUCCAACUACUCAGAUGAUCAGAACACAUUGUACUGAAUGUGAUCUGAGCAGAACAGGUCGUAUAACUUAUAACUUGUAUGUUUUUUGGUCACCUGACCCAGUCAAUGAGUGACGGGAACGUUCCAGGUUGACUGUUUAUUGCAGUCCAACUACUCAGAUGAUCAGAACACAUUGUACUGAAUGUGAUCUGAGCAGAACAGGUCGUAUAACUUAUAACUUGUAUGUUUUUUGGUCACUUGAGCCAGUCAAUGAUUGACGGGAACGUUCCAGGUUGACUGUUUAUUGCAGUCCAACUACUCAGAUGAUCAGAACACAUUGUACUGAAUGUGAUCUGAGCAGAACAGGUCGUAAACUUAUAACUUGUAUGUGUUUUUUAAUAAAAGUGUGAAUAUCAGUUUGAUAGUUACAUUUUAGUCGUCACUCUUAUCCAGAGCGACGUAGUCCAUACGUGUUCUUACUUAUUAUUUCUCACAUACUGGUUUCCCCCGUGGGAAUCGAACCCACAACCCUGGCGUUGAAAGCUCCAACCAACUGAGCCACACGGGACCUCCCUCAUUCUUUUAGUUCUUUUAAAGGUCCGAUGGGCAGCUGUUUUUUUUUUCAUCUUAAUAGCAAAUCAUUUCUGGGGAACAGUUAAGGACAUUACUGUGAUUUGUUUUCAAUUAAAACGCAACAAAAUAAAUGAGCAAAAAUAG